CCCUUUCUCCCUCUCUCACCUCAACAAACCCAAAAACACCUUUCUUUUUCCUUACUCGUAUAAACUCAAGGAAUCAGGCACCAUUCCUUCUCCCUCUCUCACGUCGACAACCCAGAAGCCAAGAACACCUCCCCUUCCACGAAAUUUCUCUUUGAAACCUUCAAAUCCGUAUUUCUCUAAAUUUCUUUGAAGAAAACGUCAAUGGUUGCGAGGGCAUGACCCGUUCUUCUUCCCUCUGAGCUUCGAAGGACCUGCGUGCUAAAUCAAAUCAUCUGAAAAUUUCCCUCCUUGACCUGGAUUCUGCCGAAUUAGGGGAAAUUCGAGUGAGUUUGGGCAGGUUGUGUAGACAUUAAAUUCAAGCCAAAAACAAGCAUUGAAUCUGUUCUUUCUCGUUUCUUGUUUUUGCUAACAGAAGGAGACGACGUCAUCGAGGAACCUUUCUAGUGAUUGCGGAGAAAUGGACUUAGCUUCUUGAAGCGUCAUUGCUUGUUUGCAGAUUGGAACCGGUCGGGAAGAAUGGGUUAGCGGAGGUGAUUAGAGGUUCUAAGGAUGUAUAUUGAGCUAAGCAUGUAGGAAUUUGUAGAUUUGUAUUAGGAUUUUGGAUAAAUGUAUAUUAGAUUUGGUUGUGUUGGUUAUAUUUGACUUGUAGAAAAUUGAAUGAUUAUCUUGUGUUUUAGUUAGAUGUUUGUUUUGAGAUUUAGUUGAGAUGGUCAUGUUAAAGAGCUUGUGACCCCUUUGCUCAAGUUUUGGAAGUAUGAUUUCAGUUUCUUGGGAGAUGAACCCCGUGGUGACCCUGUUUUUAGUCAACGGUAAGUCGGGUUGUUACAAAAAUAAUAAAUGCUAAAAUUACAUGUGUCAUUCUGAAAAACUCUUUGAGUAUAUAGAUAGAUAGAUAGAUAGAUAGAUAGAAGAUAGAUAGAUGUGAGGAUUGAGAUAAGACUUGCAAUGCGUCUCAUAUACGAUUGUCUCAAUAUUAGAACGUUGCAUAUAAGAUAACUCACUAUAACCACAUACUGCUUAGAAGCGCUCACAUGUAGCUAAAAAUCCGUCACAUAUAGCUUAAAACUGAAUACAUGCGGUUUAAAAUCAUAUAUAGCUUAAAAUCAAUUACAUAGAGCUUAAAAU